rnacentral:lncRNA from 1 species
UCUAUAAUUAUUCUUCAGGCUUGGUUGAAUAUACAAUAGAGCAUAUCUUAAAAAGUGAACCACAACAUUGUGCAUAUCCCAUGUUGCAUAUAUGACCUAUUUCUAAGAGAAAUUUUUCAAAGCUUUCAUCUUUUAGUAUAUUGUCUUCUGAAUAGUUUGCUCAACAACAUAGAAUUGUCAUUGUGUUGACCUCAAAGUUGGCUCAACAACAGAAAUGAUCAACACAAGCAGUCAAGCUUUGUUUUUUUCUCUUGUCCACCUCCAAGUGCAUUUACUAUCCUAGCUCUUACCUGCAGGACAGGAAGGUAAGCUAUGAGGAGUUUGAACUAAUGAUGAAAGCUAGAAUGGACUGAAGGAAUGCAUAUAUAGCCGAUUAACAAAUUUUAUGAAAACACGUGUCAUAUAUUAAUAGUGAAAAAUCGAAUUAUAACAUGUGCUUAGUUGCAGUAUUUGCAAAAAGUGAAAUUAUAUGUUUGGCUGCUAUCCAGUUAUAAACAUGAACAUUUAGAUUUGGGUGGCAAUUCUUCCAAAAUCAACUAAGGCAUGGAUAUUAUCAGUUGUCUGCUUGUGAUUUCUUUUUAUGAUAACCUGCACAGUUGCACAAAUGUUACCAGUUGUCCUAUUCACCAAGUAGAGCAAAAAACGUGAUCAAGGGAGAUCACAUGAGUUAUGUGCUCAUGCAGAUUUUCAAUCUUACAUUUGUAGAACCAUAGGUGAUGCAGAAGCACAUAUACUAAUACUCAUAAGUAUCUGCAGCAACUCUAGCAAUAAUACUCAUAAGUUUGCUGAUGCAGAUUUUCGAUCGGCAACCGCAAGUACAGAGACAACUGCAAAUACAGAUGAGUGCUGGUGAAUACACUAAUUCUAUGUAAUAACCUGACCAAAAGCAAGUAUCAUGGACUCGAUGGUAUAUGGCAGUACAAAUAUCACUUACGAAAAUUAAGUAGGCAUCUUCUCAAGUUCAGUGGAAUAUAUUUUGUUAGAAUGAUCAAUACCAAUGUUGCAAGCUGGUGGUAGAGCCUUUUAGGGACAACUUCAGAGAGAUUCAUGUGUGAAAGCAGCAAGGACAAAAAAAUGAAUUAUGCACAUCUGAAAUUAGUAUCAAAAGCCAAAAAAUAGUAGUUUGUCAAUUCCAAUUUGCCAAAUACACGUCUUGACCUGAGUACAUUGUACACCAGAACAUGUCUUGACUUGAAUACAUUGCAGGCUGAAAGAAUCCACAUUUCAAAACAAUCUCAGGGAGGGAAGAUCAAUAAUGUGUUAAGAUUCACAUCAAGUGUAAGUUGUUAUUUCAUUGCUAAUACAUCUUUAUUUUGUACUUUUAGGUACCGUAGAUAAUUAUUUUGAAUAAUACAAGUAGUCAUAUAAAAGGACCAAGUUACAAAUGUAGGCCUACUUACUAAUAAUUGUUUGCAUCCCUAUCAACAAUUUGUGCAAAAAUUUGGAUUCAAUGCCCAUAUGGCAUCGACCUUACUCUUUAUGAGAUAUAAUUUUGGAAAAGGAAACAUAACUAACAAAAAUCAUAUUGAUAAGUUAAAAGCGCGAGAACAAGCAAACUCUGCAAUACAUAAUGGUACGUAUGAAGUCAUAGAUUAGAAGGUCGCGAUAGUUGAGUUGCUCUAGCUAAACAAUUUUCUUCAAAAUCUACAACCAGUAAGUAACAUCUAGCUAUUACUAAAUAGUAGUUAGAAUAGGAAUACAAUAGAUGGACUUAUAAAAUUUUCCCUUCUAUAAAUUAAGAAAAAACAUCACACUACAAGCUAGUUCAGCAACACCAAGAACUUGUGUGUUUUGUUCUCCCGUCCCUUCCUCUCCCUAAUUAUGUGUGCCUAGAGUGAGGUAGCAUAUGCACAAGAAAAAUUAAAAAAUGAAAUGACGACAUGAAUUGAACUGAAUUGAUAUCUAUUGAAAAAACAAAAAAUGAGCUGAACGAAGGGCAUUGUGUUCAUGCUCUUUAUCGGCUAGCCACUUAUUAUUCCAAUAGAUAGAAAUAGCUCAUUUGAUCUCUUCGGUUUCUCGCUCUAGACUACACGCCACCAACCAUGUCUCAGGUUUCUCACUCCAGCUGAUUACCAAAUUGAGCAGCUAGCUAUAGAUGCAAAACAAAUGGAGUGGCAGUAGAAUAACCUAUCAAGCAGGUGUAAGAUCUACCACCGGGUAACUAACAAUUGAUAAAUCUCGGGGGGGCAAGACGACGCGUGACAAAGCAGUGCACCACAAAAUCCAGGCGGCUGCAGCAGUACGUGAUUACCGGAGAACUCCCAGCGAAUCUGAGCGACUGCCCCUGCGAAUCCGGGCGGCUGUACAACGAAUCCAAGCGGCUGCCCUAACGAGGUAGAUGUUGCAGUCCGCCAAAAACUCUCACCUCCUACUUCAUGGACAAUAAAUGGAAAGGAGGAGGAGGGUGUGACUGCCGAAGAGAAAACAACCACCGUAGAUGUUGCAGUCCGCCAAAAACUCUCACCUCCUACGUAGGGGGCGGAGAGGAGUCGCAGGUGUCGCCCUAGUGUGCCGCCGCCGCACGAAUCGCACACACCUCCCUCCCGGGCUCCCCCUCGCCUUCGCGUGGAAAUGUUCCACGUCGUUGUGGCGCGAGUCAGUUCCUAGGCCGAGGCCUAGGGAAAUGGCCGAGAAAAGUCUGAGGAAUGAUACUGGGUGGAUUAACCGAACACAGUUAUAAAUGUGGUCCGGAAAACUUUUGUGGCAGAUGUGAUCUACGGAGAUUGGGACGCAAUCCCAGUCGAUCCCUGGCCAAUCGAACAUGGCCUAAG